AUUGAACGCUGGCGGCAUGCUUUACACAUGCAAGUCGAGCGGCAGCGCGGGGGCAACCCUGGCGGCGAGCGGCGAACGGGUGAGUAAUACAUCGGAACGUGUCCCGUAGUGGGGGAUAACCCGGCGAAAGCCGGACUAAUACCGCAUAUGCUCUACGGAGGAAAGUGGGGGACCCGCAAGGGCCUCCUGCUAUGGGAGCGGCCGAUGUCCGAUUAGUUUGUUGGGGAGGUAACGGCUUACCAAGGCGACGAUCGGUAGCUGGUCUGAGAGGAUGAUCAGCCACACUGGGACUGAGACACGGCCCAGACUCCUACGGGAGGCAGCAGUGGGGAAUUUUGGACAAUGGGGGCAACCCUGAUCCAGCCAUGCCGCGUGCGGGAAGAAGGCCUUCGGGUUGUAAACCGCUUUUGUCCGGAAAGAAAAGACCGCUCCUAAUACGGGCGGUUCUUGACGGUACCGGAAGAAUAAGCACCGGCUAACUACGUGCCAGCCGCCGCCGUAAUAC
rnacentral:rRNA from 1 species